AUUCUACUCCCUCCGUUGCACAAUACUACAUGCCUUCUAUUUGUCAAAAUAUAUAUGUAUCUAGACAUGUCUUAGUAUAUAGAUACAUCCAUUUUUGGACAAAUGGAAUUCAAGUAUUUUGGAACGGAGGGAGUACACA
rfam:Triticum urartu cultivar G1812 contig529970, whole genome shotgun sequence.